UAAGACUCUGCCUGAUCUAGCCUGCUCCUAAGCGGGGCUGGUAAGCCAAAAACCAAUUUGUUACUUGUAUGUAAUGAGUACUGAAAAUUUGAAUCCAUCUUUAAAAGUUAAUCUUUUUUCUCCACUUUUUUACAGUGUAUGAAUCGCGUGAAGUUAGAUAUGAUUUGCGUCAGAGUUCUUAUUUGGUUUUGAAUAUUUUUCGAAAGAGUACGCAAUAUUUUUGACCGCCGUCUGAUAUAUUUGCGCAAGCGAGAGCUAUAUAGCAAACUUAUUGUUUCGGCCAUUGUUUUUAGGGUUGUGUGCAGAAAUGAAAUGUCAAGAAAAUUUAUUUAUUUAUAUGUACUUCAUUUAAAUUCUAUAAAAUCAAAACAUUUCGAAAUAAAAAAGAUUUUUUUUGCACUAAAUAACUGAAUAUGUUUCCUGUGAAGCAUAGUUUUAAAUGUAGCUUUGCGGGAUUUUGAAUUUCCAAGUCUUUGAUAUACAACAUUGUAUUGUCAUCCGAAAUUCUUCACAGUUGUGUCGAAACGUCAUUGAGUGUUGGUGAACGUGUCGAGUGUACGCGUCGUUUGCAUGAAAUAUAAUAAAGAAAAAUUUGGUGUAUAUUAUUAAAAAUAUAUGGAAUGUAUAGGAAAAAAACGGAAUGUAAAACGACCAAACGUGAAUAUAACCAGCAACAAACAGUUCAAAUCUCGUGAAUAUACGCAUGAUAUAAUUUUACGUGCGAAUAUAAGCGAAAUGUUUAAAUAAAUUUCUUAAUUUAGACGUAAAUAGUUCUCGGUCGUUCGGUUGGCAAAGUUUUCGCAUUGUAGAAAACUAAUUACACGUUACGUAGUGUGAAGUGAGUGCAAUCAUUAGAAAAUAUAAAAUCUAAUAAUAUUAGAAACGAAAAAAAUAAAGCUUUUUUGAUCGAGUGAUGAAUUGUUAGUGCUGCAACCACAAAAAUGGAACAGCGGUGGUAACGGAAAAUAGAAAUUAAUUUCGGUAUACAUUCGGAAAUGUACGCAGGGAUGGGAUGGCAUUAGCCAACGCCGCCGCUCAGUUUAUGUUUUAAAGAAGUGUGGAGCCGCAAACGUUUGUGCCACUCGAACUUUAGACAGAGUUAAAAUGCUUGUUCUUCUACUUUGGUUUCAAAUUCAGUGUUAAAGAUGCAAAACACUUAAAAAUGCUGUAAAUACAUAUAAUAUUUAAUAAUUUGUAGUAAUUUAUAUAAAACAUAUAUAAAUAUAUGAAUAUAUAUAACUUAAACACACACAAUCAACACAAGUAAUUAGAUAAACACGACUACCAAAAUAUUAAAAAUAACCAUCAUUCUAAUCUAAAAAAAA